rnacentral:rRNA from 1 species
UACGUAGGGGCAAGCGUUGUCCGGAUUCAUUGGGCGUAAAGAGCGUGUAGGCGGCCAGGUAGGUCGGUUGUGAAACUGGAGGCUCAACCUUCAGAGGUCGACCGAACCAUCUGGCUAGAGUCCGGAGAGGAGAGUGGAAUUCCUGGUGUAGCGUGAAUGCGCAGAUAUCAGAGAACACCGUGCGAAGCGCUCUCUGACGUACUGACGCUGAGACGCGAAGCGUGG